AAGAAGACGCGGCAGCGGUCAGUCGGUCGCUGUCUUCCUCGGUGGUGACACAGUCGCUUCUAACGGUCACUUUGAACACCACGUCCAGCUUUGCCUUUGGUCUGAUUCCACAGGUCUUCUAACAGGUGACAUCACUCCUCGUCUGGACUUGAAUAAGGUACAGAUUCUCAGACACGGACAUCAUCUGUCCGUCAGCACAUCUUUGUUUUUCUUUCAUUGUGAAUAUUCUUAAAUGAAUUAUGUUUUCUUUGCUCUGACUUGUCAAAUAA